GUAUGACGGGUUUUUGCACCGUCACCACGGCUGGGUUGUGCUCUUUUAUCACUAAGAUCUGCAUCCACCUCCAAUGUAGGUCAGAGGCAGUCUAAAAUAAGCAUCUGAGAUAAAAACUGCUGCUGACCUUCUGACUGGGAUCGAGUUUGACAGGUUGGCAGAAGUUAGUCCACUCCUAGGCUGCAGAGCGAAGCUGCAGCAGAUGUUUGAUUCCUUUCCUGCAAGUUCCAUGGCCAAAUCUGUGAAAAUGUAUGUUUUUAACUCAGAGGAGCUCAACGUAAGGAAGCAGAUGAUCACAGUAUGCUGAUGACCUCUGACCUGUAAGGAGAUGACCAGCGUUAACGCUCCAGCCUGUCUGCUUGCCAGGAACAACUUCUACAGAAGCUCGUCCUCACCCACGGUGCCCAUCAAACCCACGUACGGCCGACUCAAUGACACCGUCGAGCACAAACAGAGGCAGGUCACCCUGUGGGUCACCAUGGAAACGCCUCCAGGUCCUGUUUGUGCAUGUGUGAGAAGCAUGCCUGAUGGGAUACAGAGGAUUCCAGGUCAACAUCGUCCUGGGCUUUACCUCCACUCGCCACCCCUCAACUUCCAAACCACCCACACCCGCAGACCGGAGGUUAAAGUAGAAGACUGAAGCGCACCCCCUUGGUACAUGAACUGAAGGAAACUCCUCCGUGUCUCUUUGCUAAAAUCUCCCUUCGGACUGAGAGCUCAAAGAAACUAGAAACCCUGAAGAAGGACGAACAUUUGAAUCAACGGGAGGACCCUGUGGACAUCUCACAGACAUAUGAAGAAUAGAACUAUUCCCAUCCUUUGUUAUAGACAUAGAAAGAGUAGCUCUGUUCCUCUCCUUUGUUACAGACAUUGAAGGAAUAGAUCUAUUCCUGUCCUUUGUUACAGAUGCAGAAAUAUUAGAUCUGUUGCUGUCUUUUGUUACAGAUGUAUAAAGAAUAGAUCUGUUCCUGAACUCUGUCACAGACGUGCAAAUAGAUCUGUCUGUCCUUUGAUACGGACAAAGAUAGAAAAGAUCUGUUCCUGCCCUUUGAUACAGACAUAGAAAUUAUAGAUCUGACUGUUCUUUUACAGAUGUAGAUGAGUAGAUCUGUUCCCAUCUUUUGUUAGACGUAGAAAGAAUAGAUCUCUUCCUGUCCUCUGUCAUAGAUGUAAAAAGAGUAGAUCUGUUACUUUCCUUUUGUUACAGACGUCAAGAAUAGGUCUGUUACUAAAUGUAUAAACAUGAACCAAAUCCUCCAUGAUGACAAUAACCUACAGCUGUUUAACUGAAAGAUGAAAAACAUCUCCACAUCUUUCAGGGCUUUUUAUGACAGUCUGUGUGGCGUCCAUUUCACAUUUCCUUCCAAACAUGUUUUUUUAAUCUUUCCAGAAGGAAACUUGAAGAUGAAUCCUUGUGUUCCACAUGUUACAGGUAGUAAAUGUGUUUCUUCCGCUGAUAAUGAAGGAACUCCAUACAGAGACAGUUCACAUGUUUGGUUAGCACAUAGCAACACUGGCUGAACAGGGUCAAAGAAGGGGCGGGGCUACAUUAUCAGGUCCACUUAAAAUAAUCAAUAAGAGGCAGUUUUUAAUCAUUUUAGCUGGUCGAUACAGGUGCAAUUAAACUUCUCAUUAAAUGUAAAAUCUGUGCCAAACUUUGCAGCCUCUAAAAACACCAAAACAAAAAAACACCACAUUGAGAGAUGCACCUCAUUAAACCUACGGAUAAAUAAAAGAAGGUAAUUCUUUGAGAGUGUGUGUUUG
rnacentral:lncRNA from 1 species